rnacentral:lncRNA from 1 species
UAGCCAGGAGCAAGGUGUCCAUGAGCCAGGAGGAAGAAGAGAGAAGGAAAGACCAUGUUCCGCCACGAGACCCACCUGGCUGAGGGCCUGUGAGGCUAAGAUCUCCUCCAGUCAUGUUCUGGACACCACUGUCCUGCCCCAACCCUCACUGAGACUUGGCAACAGGAGAUAACUGGGCUGGGCAGAGUCCCCACACCAGGCACCUCGAGGAAGCAGGAAAGUGUGCAUCCCAGGGCAACAGACACUGGACAUCUAAGGGACAGAGCAGAGCACACAAGCGCCAGGUUCUAACAAGGCUUGCGUCAGGAAACAUUCUGCAAACGGAUGCGCCUUUUUCCCUGGCACUCAGAGUUCCCAGACCAUGAGCAGGGCACAGCACUCUUCUCUCUGACUAACUGGGGCCGAGGAAGGAGGGGAGGCAGCAUCUACGUGUUUUUCCAUGCACCGUCAUCGGAUGGACAGGAGCACACAGGUUCCAAGGAAGAGCACACCUUCCCGGCCACGGGGCCACCCAGGAUGCAUAGCAGUGAGGGGGGUCAUACCAGCCCCACACGGUCCUCACCCCAGAGAUGGAGACAUGAGGGCCUGGGUGUAAACCAGCCGAUCCCAG